GAUGAACGCUGGCGGCGUGCCUAAUGCAUGCAAGUCGAGCGAACGGACGAGAAGCUUGCUUCUCUGAUGUUAGCGGCGGACGGGUGAGUAACACGUGGAUAACCUACCUAUAAGACUGGGAUAACUUCGGGAAACCGGAGCUAAUACCGGAUAAUAUUAUGAACCGCAUGGUUCAAAAGUGAAAGACGGUCUUGCUGUCACUUAUAGAUGGAUCCGCGCUGCAUUAGCUAGUUGGUAAGGUAACGGCUUACCAAGGCAACGAUGCAUAGCCGACCUGAGAGGGUGAUCGGCCACACUGGAACUGAGACACGGUCCAGACUCCUACGGGAGGCAGCAGUAGGGAAUCUUCCGCAAUGGGCGAAAGCCUGACGGAGCAACGCCGCGUGAGUGAUGAAGGUCUUCGGAUCGUAAAACUCUGUUAUUAGGGAAGAACAUAUGUGUAAGUAACUGUGCACAUCUUGACGGUACCUAAUCAGAAAGCCACGGCUAACUACGUG
rnacentral:rRNA from 1 species